UAAUGCUUAUGUUGGAAAGUUAAGGUAAGACGUACAUAUUGAAUCAGGUUAACUUGGGACUUCUGGAAAAUGCUACUCUGAUUUGUGGACUUAUUUCAGAUAAUAAGAAUCUAGAUUAGCUUCUUAUUCUUCUUCUUCCCUUUUCUUUUUUUGGGAAACUUUGGAUUUUAUGAUUCUUUAUUACAUCCCUACAUAUCAUCAAUCAAACUUACAAUGUUUAUAUUUAAUUGGUAAUUUUUGCUGUGCCUUGUGUGACAUCAACUCUGUUGUGGAUUGUUUCAAAUAUGGUGAUUGCUGAUAUGCAAUUUGCAUGGUAUGAUGACAGCUCUCCGUAUUCUGUACUGGACUUGCUGAUGGCAUGUUGGGUCAUUAUAUUUUCUAUAAUAUCACUAUGAGGCAAAUACAACUCAACUCAACUAAACCUUAAUCUCUAACUGGUUGGAGUUGGCUAUAUGGAUUUGUUUCUAUUCAGUUUAGUAUGGGGACAAUAAUGGAAGUAAAUUGGCUUUAGGAUGUAGGGUUAAAAUUUGUCAUCAUUAACUGGAAGAUGAUGGCAAAUUUGUUAGUUUUAUAUGCCAAUUACCAUGAUACUGUGUCUAUCUCAGGAAACUAAAAUUGGCCCUCUUGAGAAGAUUUUUUUGUAUGGACUUAGUUCACCAUGGACUAUAGUUAUGAACAUAGUUGCCUAAUUCGCUCAUCCCCCCACGAAUCACGAUCUGGAUCGCGUGGAACGCAAUUUUUGGCGUUCUAAAUCACUGUGGAAUGCGAUCUGGAUCGCUAAAAUUAGCAUUCCAGUUCUUGCUUUCCAUUUGAUUUUGCUUAGAAGAGGAAGAAGCAACGAUGUCCAAAACCAGAAAAGAAUCCCAAA
rnacentral:misc_RNA from 1 species